GGCAGCCCUUUCCACUACGUAAGGAGUAGUAGGUACCAUCUAUGAGCCAGGUACCAUGCCCUCAUCACACACCAAAUCUGCUGGCCCUGACCUUGGACUUGCCAGCCUCCAGAACUGAAACUGCUCCUGGAGAGGCCUCAGAGAAACUGAACAUCUACUGCCUUCCUAACCAGAGUGCGGUAGCAACCUCAGGACCGCAAAUACACCCUCGAGCAGGUGUGUGUGUAUGUCUAGGAGCACUGGGCUGUGUGAACAGGUGCCCAGGGGGCCAGAAUGGGCAGCCUAUUUGGAGCUGGAGUUCCAGGUUCUGACUGACCAGCAUGGGGCACCUGGGAACUGACUCCAGUCCUCUGCAAGAGCAGCAAGCGUUCUUAAAUGCUAAACCAUCUCUCCUGCCCCAUACCUAUGAUUUGUGACAACGGCUCUAAUCAAAUGUGGAGCUCAACAAUUCUGCUAAGCUGGCUGGCUAAUGAGCUCCCAGGAUCCACCUAUGAGCCCCACCCACCUCAGCACCGGGAUGACAACCGUUCAACUGCAGCUUUCAUCUGGGUACUGGGGAUCAGAACUCAGGCUCUCUCACCCUGCAGGCACUUUACUGAGUGGGCCAUCUCCCUAGUGCUACCCCUCCCUUUUUUUGAGAUAACUCAUUCUAUAGUCUAGGCAGACUUAGAACUCAGGGCAAUCCUCCUGUUUCAGCUUUUCAAGUGCUUUUACAAAAACCAAUCAACCAAAUAAACAAAACUAUGUUUAUAGCACAUUUUUCAGAAGAUAUUUUUGGAUAAAAUCUGCUAAACUGGUAUACUGGCUAGUUUUGUGUCAACUUGUCACAGCUGGAGUUAUCACAGAGAAAGGAGCUUCAGUUGAGGAAAUGCCUCCAUGAGAUCCAGCUGUAAGGCAUUUUCUCAAUUAGUGAUCAAGGGGGAAAGGCCCCUUGUGGGUGGGACCAUCUCUGGGCUGGUAGUUUUGGUUCUAUAAGAGAGCAGGCUGAGCAAGCCAGGGGAGGCAAGCCAGUAAGGAAUAUCCCUCCAUGGCUCUGCAUCAGCUCCUGCUUUCUGACCUGCCUGAGUUCCAGUCCUGACUUCCUUGGUGAUGAACAGCAGUAUGGAAGUGUAAGCCAAAUAAACCCUUUCCUCCCCAACUUGCUUCUUGGUCAUGAUGAUUGUGCAGGAAUAGAAACCGUGACUGAGACAACUGGUGAUACCUGACAUCUGGCAACAGAGCUUUCAGGUUUGACUCUAUCAAUGGAAACAUUUAUUCACCGAACGUAUUGACUGAGAUGCAUGUAUGAGGAGAUCCAAGACGGUCAGUGACAGUGAAAAACUGGACAACCAAACAUCCAUCCAUCCCGUAUUACUCAUCACAUCAGAUAAAUCAUGGUCAAACACACACUGCAAUGCUGCGCAGCCAUGGAAACAGGAGCCCUCUGCAUGCACUAGUGUGACAAGAUGCCCUGCCUUGGUAAAUGAGAAGCAUGCGGUGGAACCCUCUCUUCCUGGCAGUACUCACACCCAGAACUUCACACAUGCUAGCUGAGCCCCCUCCCACCAAGCACACCUCAGGGCUACCCCCAUGUGCUUUUAAAACCUGAUGUGCUUGCCGUCCGUGCAUCUAAACACUUGGGUACCUGGAUGUAUUUGUUUGGAUGAAUACACUCACAGGUGCAGGGAUGCAGCUGAAAGGACUUACAAAGUUGCUCACAGAGACGCUUUAUAGGAGAUGCUUUGGGUAAAUCCGAAUGAUUUCAUACAUUUCACACAGAACUUGCUAUGUACAUGCAGACUAGCUGGCUUUGAACUUGUGCAGUUCCCUGUGGCUACGGGGGCUGGGAUUAUAUGCAUUGCCACCAUAUCUGGCCUUAUGUUUGAUUUUAUAUUUUGCUGUAAUAUUUACUUUUAUUUCUAUUUUUUUUAAAGAAAGAAGUAAAACAUUAUUAUUAAAAACUUCUGUGGGACUAGAGCUGGCUCAGUGGUUAAGAGCAUUGGCUGCUCUUGCCUGAGUUUGGUUUCCAGGACUCAAAGAGUGGCUCACAACCAUCUCUAACUCUAGUUAUAGGGAAUCCAAUACCCUUCUCUGUCCUCUGAGGGCACUAGGCACGCACAUAGUGUAUAUACAUUCAUGUAGAAAAAAAUCAUAAAUACAUAUAUGAAUUUUUGUAUACACACACACACACACACACACACACAUAACAAAAUAAACCAAACCUAAAACACAUGCACACACAAAGCUGCCAGGCGUAGUGGCUCCCACCUGUAAUCCCAGUACUUGGGGGCAGGCCUGAAGCAGGGAGAUUGCAGUGAAUUUAAGGCCAGCUUGAACUAUCUAGUGAGAUUCCAUCUAAACACAAACAGGGCUGUUGAGAUAGCCCAGUAGAUAAAUAAAGUCUGAUAACCUUUUUGAUCCCUGGACCCACAUGUUGGAGAGAGAGAAAUGACUCCUAUGAUUUGCAUCUGACCUCAGUGUGCACAUCUCACCCCACACAUUAAACAAGCAAACCAACAAAUGUAUUUUAAAAGCAAACAAAAUAAACUAACUUGGGCUGGCAAUAGAGCUCAGUGGCACCGUGCCUGCCUAGCAUGCGUAAGACCUUGGAUUGGAUUCCAAGCAAACACACCACAUACACACACACAUACACACACACACACACACACACACACACACACACACACACACCAAACAAAACCAGACUAACUUUAUCACAAAUGCUAUAACUAUCAUGCCUACACCAAAGUAAAGGCCUCUCUCCUAAACCUAGCAGAAGUCAUUCUAUAAUAGAAAGACUUUAGAUAUGUUCUUAUACAGCUUAUUGUCUGAAUGCAUUUCUACCUUUUAAGGAAGCAUAAAGAGCUUGCUUGCUCUCUCUCUCUCUCUCUCUGUGUGUGUGUGUCUCUCUCUCUCCUUCCAAGUACAAGUUCCUCCUU